rnacentral:rRNA from 1 species
UGGAGAGUUUGAUCCUGGCUCAGGACGAACGCUGGCGGCGUGCUUAACACAUGCAAGUCGAACGGUAAGGCCCUUCGGGGUACACGAGUGGCGAACGGGUGAGUAACACGUGGGUAAUCUGCCCUGCACAUCGGGAUAAGCCUGGGAAACUGGGUCUAAUACCGAAUAGGACCACAGAACACAUGUCCUGUGGUGGAAAGCUUUUGCGGUGUGGGAUGGGCCCGCGGCCUAUCAGCUUGUUGGUGGGGUGAUGGCCCACCAAGGCGACGACGGGUAGCCGGCCUGAGAGGGUGUCCGGCCACACUGGGACUGAGAUACGGCCCAGACUCCUACGGGAGGCAGCAGUGGGGAAUAUUGCACAAUGGGCGAAAGCCUGAUGCAGCGACGCCGCGUGGGGGAUGACGGCCUUCGGGUUGUAAACCUCUUUCACCAUCGACGAAGGUUCGGGUUUUCUCGGAUUGACGGUAGGUGGAGAAGAAGCACCGGCCAACUACGUGCCAGCAGCCGCGGUAAUACGUAGGGUGCGAGCGUUGUCCGGAAUUACUGGGCGUAAAGAGCUCGUAGGUGGUUUGUCGCGUUGUUCGUGAAAUCUCACGGCUUAACUGUGAGCGUGCGGGCGAUACGGGCAGACUUGAGUACUGCAGGGGAGACUGGAAUUCCUGGUGUAGCGGUGGAAUGCGCAGAUAUCAGGAGGAACACCGGUGGCGAAGGCGGGUCUCUGGGCAGUAACUGACGCUGAGGAGCGAAAGCGUGGGGAGCGAACAGGAUUAGAUACCCUGGUAGUCCACGCCGUAAACGGUGGGUACUAGGUGUGGGUUUCCUUCCUUGGGAUCCGUGCCGUAGCUAACGCAUUAAGUACCCCGCCUGGGGAGUACGGCCGCAAGGCUAAAACUCAAAGAAAUUGACGGGGGCCCGCACAAGCGGCGGAGCAUGUGGAUUAAUUCGAUGCAACGCGAAGAACCUUACCUGGGUUUGACAUGCACAGGACGCCGGCAGAGAUGUCGGUUCCCUUGUGGCCUGUGUGCAGGUGGUGCAUGGCUGUCGUCAGCUCGUGUCGUGAGAUGUUGGGUUAAGUCCCGCAACGAGCGCAACCCUUGUCUCAUGUUGCCAGCGGGUAAUGCCGGGGACUCGUGAGAGACUGCCGGGGUCAACUCGGAGGAAGGUGGGGAUGACGUCAAGUCAUCAUGCCCCUUAUGUCCAGGGCUUCACACAUGCUACAAUGGCCGGUACAAAGGGCUGCGAUGCCGCGAGGUUAAGCGAAUCCUUUUAAAGCCGGUCUCAGUUCGGAUCGGGGUCUGCAACUCGACCCCGUGAAGUCGGAGUCGCUAGUAAUCGCAGAUCAGCAACGCUGCGGUGAAUACGUUCCCGGGCCUUGUACACACCGCCCGUCACGUCAUGAAAGUCGGUAACACCCGAAGCCAGUGGCCUAACCCUUUGGGAGGGAGCUGUCGAAGGU